rnacentral:tRNA from 1 species
GCCCUCGUAGUUCAACGGAUAGAAUAAGGGACUCCUAAGCCUUAGAUAGAGGUUCAAUUCCUCUCGAGGGCA